rnacentral:rRNA from 1 species
GACGAACGCUGGCGGCGUGCUUAACACAUGCAAGUCGAGCGGUAAGGCCCUUUCGGGGGUACACGAGCGGCGAACGGGUGAGUAACACGUGGGUGACCUGCCUUUAGCUUCGGGAUAAGCCUGGGAAACUGGGUCUAAUACCGGAUAUGACCUCAUGUCGCAUGGUGUGGGGUGGAAAGUUUUUCGGCUAGAGAUGGGCCCGCGGCCUACCAGCUUGUUGGUGGGGUGAUGGCCUACCAAGGCGACGACGGGUAGCCGGCCUGAGAGGGCGACCGGCCACACUGGGACUGAGACACGGCCCAGACUCCUACGGGAGGCAGCAGUGGGGAUACUGCACAAUGGCGAAAGCCUGAUGCAGCGACGCCGCGUGAGGGAUGAC